GACGAACGCUGGCGGCGUGCUUAACACAUGCAAGUCGAACGAUGAAGCCAGCUUGCUGGUGGAUUAGUGGCGAACGGGUGAGUAACACGUGGGUGAUCUGCCCCAAACUUUGGGAUAAGCCUGGGAAACUGGGUCUAAUACCGAAUAUGACUGAUACUCGCAUGGGUGUUGGUGGAAAGCUCCGGCGGUUUGGGAUGGGCCCGCGGCCUAUCAGCUUGUUGGUGGGGUAAUGGCCUACCAAGGCGACGACGGGUAGCCGGCCUGAGAGGGCGACCGGCCACACUGGGACUGCGACACGGCCCAGACUCCUACGGGAGGCAGCAGUGGGGAAUAUUGCACAAUGGGCGCAAGCCUGAUGCAGCGACGCCGCGUGAGGGAUGACGGCCUUCGGGUUGUAAACCUCUUUCACCAGGGACGAAGCGAAAGUGACGGUACCUGGAGAAGAAGCACCGGCCAACUACGUG
rnacentral:rRNA from 1 species